GCCGCUGUAGCUCAGUGGGAGAGCGUUCGGCUGAAGACCGAAAUGUCGUCGGUUCAAAUCCGACCAGCGGCACCA
rnacentral:tRNA from 3 species